rnacentral:lncRNA from 1 species
GCUGGGAUUACAGGCGUGAGCCACUGCGGCCGGCCCCAAAAUAGGCUCAUCUUUUGAUGUUGCCCACAAGUGAAUAAAGUUAAGGCAAAAGGUAGGUGUAGUGUAGUUGGCCCUGGAAGCCCGUCUUUUGGCCUUCACCUUACUUUAGGACGAAGUAGGGUCUGUCCAGUGGCCUACAAGAGGAAGUAAUUCUGCUUUUUCCAAAGUUGCCUGGAGCAUAUUUUCAAAAAUGAAGACUCUCACUUUAACUAUAUGAAGUCUGGUGCACACUAUUUUGCAUGCUGUGAUUACUGGUUAUUUAAGCUUCAUCAAUGAAAAGAAACAGCAGAGCAAGAGUCAAGCUUUAGUCUAAUAAGAAAUGAGAAACAGAAGCUGUCAGCCACCGAAUGGGAACGAAGGGGUAGUGAGGCAAGGACAUGCCACCUUCCUACUCUACAACUCAGAACCUCACAAGGGAGGCUGUUUUGCCUCUCUAGUUCCAUGUUAAGCUGGUUUUAAUCUCCAUCUUGAUUGCCUUCCUUCCAAAUGGAUGGAUGUAUUCAGAGAGAUUGUCCUGAUCCAUCCUGAUUGUCUGCCAAUGUAUCUGCUGAUGUGGGUAGGGCCACCUGGCAUACACUUGCAGGGCCAUGCUCUUGUGAAUCAGACAGUCACAUUGCAUGGCAAAGGAGACCUGCAUUUGAUGUUCAAAAAUGAGAGAGCCCAAGGAGCCUCAGCUCUUGGUUGCAACACUGGGGACAAACUAUGAAUAAUAAAGUGAGUGACACAAGGGCUUAAGGUCAGGAACUCCUGUGGCAUUUUGGUUUAGCUCAGUUGGAGGUGUGGGAGGAGUGUGAUGGAGCUGAACCCAGAUUACGGAGGAAGCUUCAUCAUGCCAGACCGAGCUGAAGCCAUUGAGUGGCUUUCAACAGGGAAUAACAUGACUGUACUGAAAGCGGCAGGGCUGACAUUGGGGAGACCAGUUCUGAUGACCUUGCAGCAGUCCAGAAGAAAUGAUGGUGCCCUGAACUGUGUUAGCAGCAGUGGAAGAGGGUGGACCCAAGAGCUGUGGGGAGGAAGAACCUGUAGACUUGACGACCACCUAGCUAACAUAUUCAUGGCAAUGAGUCUUGGAAGUUCUACAGCGCACCUGGAGGGAUGGUGGGAUCAGCGAGGCCAACACUGAGAGAAACGCAGGCGUGGAUGCCCUGGCACAACCUCGCAGCAGAUCCUAAUUCCUGGGAGGACCCCUUUCCUUCCCACAUUUGACAAAGACAGUCUACGCAGAUUCCCUAGAAAAACCUCCUCGCUGCCCACAGGUUGCUUUUUUUUUUUGUUCCCCAUCAGAGCAGCCUGCUGGAACUCAGCAAGGCAGUGGACAAUCCAAUGGUCGUACCAGCGAUUGUCCAUACCUGUGGGAUAACUAGGAAGACAGUUAUUUUUGUGUGAGUGCCUGUGUGCUCUGGGGAGAGAUGCCAGUGAGUGAAACUGGAAUGAACAACCUGACCUCGAGGAAAAAAAUGACCUUAUCGUUAACAAAAUAGUGAAUGCUUCCACAGUGCCUGUUUGUACAGAGUGCUUCACAAGCAUGAGCUCAUGUGAUUUCCUCAUCACUUGCUUUUCCAGCUGUAACAGGUUUGGAGAAGGCAGCUGUGGAUUCUCUUUAGCUUUUGUUUGAGAGGUUUCUCUCUUCCUGGUCAAGAAGCCACAUGACCCGAAUGUAACUAGGACGGUGUUGUUGAGCACUUGCUUGUGGACCCCUCUGGGGUCUGCAGAUGACUGGCAGGAUGCUGGAGCCUGCAGGUUUUGCUAGUUUCCUACUUGCAUGGAUCCUUUCUUGCCCCAGCUCUGGAUAGGUUCCCAGGCUUCAUUAGAAUUCAUGGACGGUUAUCUGCAAAGACUUCUGGACAAGAAGCACAUCCAGUACUUCCUAAAAGAGCAGAUGGGACCAUAGCAAGAAUCUCUUUGCUGCCCGACACAUGAGAAGCGGCCUGCCCAGCUGGCACUUGCUCUCCUACAACCAGCCUCAACAAGGCAUCGAGCUGCCUGCACCAGUGACAGCAAAGCAGCACCUGCCUGUCUGCAGCUCAGGGAUUUUCUCUCGCCCUCAGUCGUACAGCCUUAGCCUUCCAGGUGGUUUCUAGGGCUGGGUAACUAGUUCCUUCUGGGUUGGGGAAUGGGGAACAAGUGUAAAAGUUAUUUUGGCUCAAAUACAAGAUUGACAUUUGGUUUUAGAAAUAGGAAUAUUUGUUAUGCAGCUUCCAUUUUAUGAAAAUGAGGGAUAUGUUUUCCAUCCUCUUACCUAUUUAAUCAACAAAGGUCUUAAUGGAGAUGCAGUGGGCAGCUGGAUUCUUAAAAUGCCAGCUCCUUCCCAACAUCCUCUAAAUCAGACAUUUCUGUCUAAGCAUGCACCUGCAAAAAUGAUAUGUUGUUUUCCAGCUUCACUGCAAGAUCCUUGCCAGAAUUCAGGAUAGGUAUCUCAAGGAUAUCAUUACAAGUUCCAAAUAAUGCCAUCUUUCAUGCUUGAAAAGCCAUGACUGUCUGGUCCCUGCAGGGAGUAGCUGGUGCCUUCAGUGGGGAGGGGUUCGAGCGUGAGCAGCUCAGGAACGUUGUGGUCUACGGUUCAGCCACAUCCUUUGUGGUAAGAAACUGCAACAAAAUGUACUUUAUAUUUUUAUAAUCAGCUGGCUUUUAAAUUACAGCCAUGCUGAAUAAGAGCAGAGAAAACGUAUGAUUAGUAAUUUCCUUAUGCAGAAAGUAGAACAGUUUCUGGCUAAGGCCUAGGGCUUUAAAAAAAAGGUGCUUUUAGUAAAAAAAAGAAAAUGGAAAAUUCUUUAUUCCAAAGCCAAAGCAAUGGUUCAUGGCCUCCUUCUGAGCAGUAAUAGUCCAACUCCACGAGGAAGUGGAAAUGGAAAAGAUUAGCUUGGGAAAAUAUUCUAAGGGCUGUCUGCCUGCCCAGCCACUGUCACCUAUAUACUGAGCCACCUUCUCUGGUCCUUACAAGCACAGAAAAAUGGAUCUGUGGCAGUCAUGGUUCCUGGACUUCUAGAAAUGACUAUAUUCCAGGAGAUGCAGAAAUGCUACUGAACAUGGAUGUGCAGCACCACAGAAAACCUAUGUGGGAUCCUGAUCACCAGUGGAAGCCCGGCUCCUUAGAGAGCUAAGAUGGAACAAAGAAAAUUCCCAGGCCCGGGAACCACCAGAGGUACUACCUUAUUUGCUCAAAAGGUAGGUUAUGCCCAUAAGGGGCAGACCACGCAUGGCUCUACCUCUCUCUCUCUCUCUACACACACACACACUCUCUCUCUCUCUCUCUCUCUCCUGCUUUUAUUGUGCCAUUUUGGAUCUGUAGGAACUUGGGCUUGAAGAGCUACAUGAUCUGAAAUUCAGCAUGUAUCAGCUAGUAGGUUUAGGUUAUGUCCCGAGAGGGAUGUGCCUCCAGGUGGCUGUGACCUCACUUUCACAGUUCAUGCAGAGGAAAGUCAUCCUUGUGGUCCUGGGAGAGCUGGUCUGUUGCUGCCCAGGUUUGCCUGCACUGCCAGCAUGGCUCUCACAGCCCCCCAAAUUGUUUUCCUCUGAAAGGUUCAAAUCUUGACUCUGAAACAGACCUCAUAAUGAAACACCUAUGGGAAAAGUCUA